rnacentral:rRNA from 1 species
GACGUAGGGGGCGAGCGUUGUCCGGAUUUAUUGGGCGUAAAGAGCGCGUAGGCGGCCCGUUAAGUCGGAUGUGAAAACCCGUGGCUCAACCACGGGCCUGCAUCCGAUACUGGCGGGCUCGAGGCAGGCAGGGGAGAUCGGAAUUCCUGGUGUAGCGGUGAAAUGCGCAGAUAUCAGGAGGAACACCGGUGGCGAAGGCGGAUCUCUGGGCCUGGCCUGACGCUCAGGCGCGAAAGCUAGGGGAGCAAACAGG